rnacentral:rRNA from 1 species
CCUCCCACCCGUGUUUACUGUACCUUAGUUGCUUCGGCGGGCCCGCCAUUCAUGGCCGCCGGGGGCUCUCAGCCCCGGGCCCGCGCCCGCCGGAGACACCACGAACUCUGUCUGAUCUAGUGAAGUCUGAGUUGAUUGUAUCGCAAUCAGUUAAAACUUUCAACAAUGGAUCUCUUGGUUCCGGCAUCGAUGAAGAACGCAGCGAAAUGCGAUAACUAGUGUGAAUUGCAGAAUUCCGUGAAUCAUCGAGUCUUUGAACGCACAUUGCGCCCCCUGGUAUUCCGGGGGGCAUGCCUGUCCGAGCGUCAUUGCUGCCCAUCAAGCACGGCUUGUGUGUUGGGUCGUCGUCCCCUCUCCGGGGGGGACGGGCCCCAAAGGCAGCGGCGGCACCGCGUCCGAUCCUCGAGCGUAUGGGGCUUUGUCACCCGCUCUGUAGGCCCGGCCGGCGCUUGCCGAACGCAAAUCAAUCUUUUUCCAGGUUGACCUCGGAUCAGGUAGGGAUACCCGCUGAACUUAAGCAUAUCAAUAAGCGGA